rnacentral:rRNA from 1 species
ANCGCGCAGAACCUUACCAUCCCUUGACAUGGCAUGUUACCUCGAGAGAUCGGGGAUCCUCUUCGGAGGCGUGCACACAGGUGCUGCAUGGCUGUCGUCAGCUCGUGUCGUGAGAUGUUGGGUUAAGUCCCGCAACGAGCGCAACCCACGUCCUUAGUUGCCAUCAUUCAGUUGGGCACUCUAGGGAGACUGCCGGUGAUAAGCCGCGAGGAAGGUGUGGAUGACGUCAAGUCCUCAUGGCCCUUACGGGAUGGGCUACACACGUGCUACAAUGGCGGUGACAGUGGGACGCGAAACCGCGAGGUUGAGCAAAUCCCCAAAAGCCGUCUCAGUUCGGAUUGCACUCUGCAACUCGGGUGCAUGAAGGCGGAAUCGCUAGUAAUCGUGGAUCAGCACGCCACGGUGAAUACGUUCCCGGGCCUUGUACACACCGCCCGUCACACCAUGGGAGUUGGUCUUACCCGACGGCGCUGCGCCAACCGCAAGGGGGCAGGCGACCACGGUAGGGUCAGCGACUGGGGUGAAGUCGUAACAAGGUAGCCGUAGGGGAACCUGCGGCUGGAUCACCUCCUUU